GAUCAAAGGGUACGCGUACCGGUAAGGCUGCACGCGUAUUGGGUACGCCAAAACAGAUCUCAUUUCGAAAUACUCCGAGGCUGAAGAACUUCGAAGGUGCUAGGGUUCCAUGUCUAUUCAAUUAUCUCCUUCCAGAAAUACUCCCAAGAGAGUCUGAAGAACACUUCGGAGGUGCGAUUGAAAGGUUUAAUCGAAGGUGCUGCCGAUUGAUUCUCUCAUUCGAAGGUGCGAUUGAAGAGCGUUGCAAGAAGAGCAAUUACAUGGAGGAUCAGCUAAGUGCAUUGCCAGAUGAAAUUAUCAUUGCCAUCUUGUCCCUCUUGACAAUGAAAGAAGCGGCAAGAACUGGUGUGCUUUCCCUUGAAUGGAAAAAUUUGUGGAAGUUUUCCAUGGGUAGUUUGAAUUUUGAUGCUUCCAAUACAAACGCGCGCAUGCAACAAGAAAUAGAAACAAUGUCAAUUGAAACUGAAAGGACUAAGUAUAUAAGUAGGGUAAACAAAGUCUCCAAUUUGCAUCAGGGCCAAAAUAUAGAAGAAUUUAGAGUGUGCUUUGAUUUGGAUUAGAAUUUUGCAUGUGUCGUUGAUAGAUGAAUUAACUUUGCAAAAGAAAAGAGUUUGAAAGCUUGAGUUGGACUUGAGGAUAAUUUGACGAUUCUCAGUUUGAGGAUUCUUGCCCUUUUCCGUUAAGCCAAUUUGGUGUUCUAAGCUUUAACACCUUGACUUCCCUCUGCUUGAAAUCGGUAGAUUUGACAGAAGACGUUCUUGCACAAUUCUUAUCUAAUUGUCCGUUGAUUGAAGAGUUAUCUUUGAUGCAUUCAUGAUCUUUGGUUAAUCUAAAAAUAGGUGGUCCUCUGAAGUUGAAGUAAUUGGUGCUUAGCUACUGUUUCAGUUUACGAAAUCUUGAGAUUUUGGCUACAAAUCUCAUAUCAUUUAAAUACCGUGGGCCAUACAUAAUCAACAAUCCUCUUAAGAAUGUUGCCCUGUUCUCUGAAGUAUCCAUUGGGGGUUGUUACUGCAUGGAUAUAGUUUGUUCAGCAUUUUACCGUUUCUCUGGUGUACUCUGUUAGCUAGAGACACUUGUACUGGACCUGGAUUCUCUGGUUAGUUGGCAUAACCAUUGCGUGGUAGUUUUGUUUUUUAA